rnacentral:lncRNA from 1 species
UUAUUCGUAAUUUGGCACUUAAAAGCACUUUUAAAAAAGCUUGGCCAAACACAAAUUAUUUUUCAAAAGUGCUUUUCCGAUUGAUUAGCCUGCAAAAGUACUUUUUUCAAAAGCACUUUUAAAAAAAUACUUCUCAAAAUAAGUCAAUUUCUCCGGCUUGGCAAACAGGCUAUUACUCUCUCUUUUCUUUUCUUUUUCUUUAAUUUGCUUUGAGAUAUAUUUAUGUGGUGGCAUAUAAUUUUUAAUGUGGUAUUUUGGAAAAAAUGUAUUUUUUGGGUGAUAUUGGAAAGGGAAAGGGGCAAAUUUAUCACCUUACUUUUGGGUAUUACUAACAUUUAAUAUAUAUUAUAUUAUUCGGAUAAAUUUAGUUUUAUUAUUAUAUUAUCAUGCCAAAUUUAUCCUCUAUCGUCUGUAGACAUUUAAAAUUAUCAAAGCUCUAACUGUAACCCACAAUCUUCAAAUCCCUUUUGUUUAAGGCACUUAAUUUUCAUCUUCAUCCCACCAUUUGUCAGAAAUUAUCACUAAGUGUACUAAAUAAUACAAAUUAAAUUCAUGGAUUCUAUUAUUAUCUAACCAACUAGUGGAUAUUCCAAGCACACACAAUAGCUAGGUUGCGAGAAAUUAAAAGGAGAGGAGCUUUGUAAUCUUUAUUUGUUUAUGAAACUCUUUUUCUUCCGGUUAUGUAUGAAUAAAGCAAGAUUUUCCUAAAUAAACUACAAUAACAAUGGCAUGCACCAAAACAGGCCGAUUGUAUUCAUUUCUUAAUAACAAGUACAAGCUUAGAUAAGUACAUCAAUUCAAGGGUUCGUUUAGUAUGAGAGAUAAAGGAUAAUUAAUUUCGAAAUCAAAUUUAGUAUGAGUUAAUUUUUUAGUUGGUUGGGAUAAAAUCGCGAUAUGACUAAUUUGGAAUUAGUUAUCCCGGAAUUGUAUUAUUUUUUAAUCCUUAUGGGAGGGUGGGAUAACUAUUCCCAGGAUAAAUAAUCAUGGGAUUAUUAAUCCCGGAUAACGUAUUUCCAACUAAGGAGUCGUUUGGUUGGAAAGAUGUUAUUCCAGGAUCAGUUAUCCCGAAAUUAGUUAUUCCACUUUUCUAUGGGGAUAAGAAAGCAUUAGAAUCCGGGGAUAAUUAAUUUCGGGAUUAGUUAUUACCACAUUUUUCUACCAACCAAACAUGAGAUAAC